UUCACCAAAUUAAUAUUUUUUUAGUUUAAUUUAAAAUUCAUAUCAGGUAAGCUUCAAAUAAUUGGUUUUCCAUGUUAACCUGCUUAGCUAGGCCGAGCUAAUAAAGUAUGCCUGCAAUAACAGCAGAAUAGCAGCCCAUGUUAACCUCGCUAGUAGAUUUUUCACCUCCGGCUAGUAGCCUCCUAGGUCUUGGCUAAAGAUAAAAUGAAAACUACUGAUGAUCGAAUAGAAAUCUUGAGAUUGAACAGCUAGUAGCCAUUUAUUUACUGCCUAAUUGUUUCUCAGUCUGCCUAGGGGUGCUAUCAAAAGGUUGUGUGGCAUGAUAACUUGUACUUUGGGAUGCUUAUGUGGUUUGGUGAAUUGACAAGCAAAAGACAAAAGCCUUGGUGGUUAUGCUACUUUGCAGCUGGUUUGGGCAUUCUGCCUCUCAUGCCUAGAGUCUGGACUCACCAUUGCUAGAAUCCUUUCCUACAACUGCAGUCACGAGGAAGUCAUCUUCAUGAGCACAGGUUGAGAAAUGUAAGGUUGGUAAGAGGAGCAAAGCUCUCGAUUGGGAAUUCUCCGGUAAGGCCAUUAAGGCUCAAAUCAAGAGCCUGGAUUUGGUCACAACAUAUAACUUCUUUAGGAAAACUACCCUUUAAAGAAAUGUUUGACAAAUCAAUGGAAAGAAUGGUUAAAGGGCAGUAUUUCCAAAAGAAACUGUAUGACAAGUAGAGUGGUGCCAUCUUCGGCCUGUUUCGCAGGUCUAUGUUGUCGAAAGAAUGGACACAAUUUGGAUUCUUUGACUCAUUGCAAAGAUGGCUUGCAACAAUGGUGAACUUGAAGAUUUCUUUCAGGUCCAUAGAAGAGGAGUUACAGUAUCUGAGAGAAGGAUUGUGUUGACAGUUUUUCAUGAUUGUGGUGUUGAAAUCUGACGGGGGUUGCAAGUUUGCAAGGUCCUCUACUACUGAUCCUGAGAUUGCUGAAGAAACUGUGAGUGAUAAUGUUGUGAACAGAAGAAGGAGAAAACGUGGAGAAGCCAUGAAAGAAGUUGAGAGAAGUCUCUGAAAGUCAGAUAGAUAUCCAAAUUUUCAAGCGGUUUGCAUGCAUUUGCAAUGUGGAAGUUUUGGAAGGUUUAUUAUUUGAAUUUGUAGUGCCAAAUUUGGUGGUUA